GUACACGCUGUGACUAGCAUAUCAAUAAGCGGAGGAAAAGAAACUAACAAGGAUUCCCCUAGUAACGGCGAGUGAAGCGGGAAGAGCUCAAAUUUGAAAUCUUAAAGGGUUUCCCUUUACGAAUUGUAGUUUAAAGAAGUGUUUUCUGUUGAGGUUUUGGUAAAAGUUCUUUGGAAUAGGACAUCAUAGAGGGUGAGAAUCCCGUAUUUGACCUUUACUUUCAACUUUGUGAUUCACUUUCAAAGAGUCGGAUUGUUUGGGAAUGCAGUCCAAAAUGGGUGGUAAAUUUCAUCUAAAGCUAAAUAUUGGCGAGAGACCGAUAGCGAACAAGUACCGUGAGGGAAAGAUGAAAAGAACUUUGAAAAGAGAGUUAAACAGUACGUGAAAUUGUCAAAAGGGAAGCGUUUGACACCAGUGUUGUUUUUCUGAAAAUCAAUUAAAGAACUGUUUAUGCUAAGCUGUUUAGACUUUAUCAGCUAUCUGUUUAGUUUUGAGCUUUUCUUUAAUGCACUUUUCAGUUAACAAUGUCAACAUCAAUUUCUUUUGCUGUAAAAAAGCUUGAGGAAGGUGGCUUGAGAUUCGUCUUAAGUGUUUAUAGCCUCUUGCCUAUGCAGUCGGAGAGAUUGAGGUCUGCAGCGUAGAUCCUUCGGGGCUAAAUGCAUUUGUGCUAAGUUAUAGCAUUUUAUAGACAACUUGUUGACUAUGAUUUGUCUUGUAGCUUACUCGCUUAUGUUAUUUUACCUACGCUUAGGAUGUUGAAGAUGUAGCACAUCAU
rnacentral:rRNA from 1 species